GACAGAGGAUGCAACCGUUGCUCGGAAUUACUGGGCGUAAAGCGCGUGUAGGCGGUCUGGUAAGUCGGACGUGAAAUCCCGGGGCUCAACCCCGGAAGUGCGCUCGAUACUGCCGGACUUGGGUUCUGAAGAGGAGAGCGGAAUUCCCGGUGUGGAGGUGAAAUUCGUAGAUAUCGGGAGGAACACCUGUGGCGAAGGCGGCCAUCUGGACGAUAACUGACGCUGAGACGCGAAAGCGUGGGUAGCAAACAGG
rnacentral:rRNA from 1 species